GACAGAGGUGCCAAGCGUUAGGCGGAAUCACUGGGCUUAAAGCGUGUGUAGGCGGAUCGUUAAGUACCUUGUGAAAUCCCACGGCUCAACCGUGGAACUGCUCGGUAUACUGGCGGUCUUGAGCCACCUAGGGGCAACUGGAACAAGCGGUGGAGCGGUGAAAUGCGUAGAUAUCGGGAGGAACACCAGUGGCGAAGGCGGCGACCUGGGCCAAUACUGACGCUGAGGUGCGAAAGCGUGGGGAGCAAACAGG
rnacentral:rRNA from 1 species